UACAGAGGGGGCAAGCGUUGUUCGGAAUUACUGGGCGUAAAGGGCGCGUAGGCGGCCGCCUAAGUCAGACGUGAAAUCCCUCGGCUCAACCGGGGAACUGCGUCUGAUACUGGGUGGCUUGAAUUCGGGAGAGGGAUGCGGAAUUCCAGGUGUAGCGGUGAAAUGCGUAGAUAUCUGGAGGAACACCGGUGGCGAAGGCGGCAUCCUGGACCGGCAUUGACGCUGAGGAGCGAAAGCCAGGGGAGCAAACGGG
rnacentral:rRNA from 1 species